rnacentral:sRNA from 1 species
GAGAGAGAGAGAGAGAGAGAGAGAGAGAGAGAGAGUUAUAACCCACAAAAAAACAAAACAGAAGACGACUUUUUCUUCUUUCUCUCUUCUCUCUUCUUCUUCUUCUUCUUCUUCUUCUUUUCUCUCUCUCUCUCUCUCUCUC